rnacentral:rRNA from 1 species
GUCACACCCGUUCCCAUACCGAACACGGAAGUUAAGCUUCUCAGCGCCGAUGGUAGUUGGGGGCUGUCCCCCUGUGAGAGUAGGACGCUGCCGGGCGAA